rnacentral:rRNA from 1 species
AUGGAAGUCGACUGUUUGGAGCUAGUGAAGCUCUGGCAAUCUCGCCACAAUGCUCGUUCUAUUGUGGCUCCUUUACUUCUAGAAAUAGGAGAGCUAUGUAAUACUUUUAGUUCGUUUGAUAUCCAGCAUGUAAAUCGGUCGGCGAACCUCCCGGCGCAUCUGUGUGCUAAGCAUGCUUGCACAUUGAAUGCUACAGAGAGCUGGAUCGAUGAAACUCCUAGCUUCUUGGUGACCAGCCUACUGGCUGACUGUCCCAAGAAUGCGUUUAUUGAAUAA